GAUGGUUUUAUCCAACCAGUCGACGAUAUUCUAGGAGAGAUGCUGCUAUUCUUUAUCAAGUAAUAGAUAGUGGAUUUGCUUGACUUGGCAAGAGUAGACAGAAAUAUAGUGCACUCUUUCACAGCUUGAGGGGAAAUAAAAGCUGUGCAGACUAUUCAAAAUAAUGUUCACCCAAGGUCAUGGGCAAUAUGACGUGAAUAGGAAACUGCAUGUCAGAGACAUUAACUUAAUGUUCUAUAUAUUUUUAAACAAAUGAAUCUCAUAUUUUAAGACAAUUAAUAAAUAUUUAUUUUUAUAAUUGGUCCAGUUUUUCGUCGACGAAGCCAUCUUAAGAGAAGCUUCAUUGCAAAUAUCAGGCCGAUAUUUAACUCUAGCGGACAACAAACAAGAGUAGACACAUCGUGGGUUGUAGUUGUAGAAAGAGAAGAAAAUGGAAACUAAGGCGAACCACUGGCUCAUGCAGCUUUCAUUUCAGCAGAGGCUGCUCGCACGCAGGCAGAGGCCGCGCAUCUUCCAGCUGAGAUAUAUGUAUCUCAGUAAAAAAAAUUUAAGGAAUUGACCAAUAUCGGCAAAAACCUUGUUUAAAAUAAUAUGAUCCAUUUUUUUAUUAUUUUAGCUGUGUCCGUAAUAGUUUAUAUUACCAUAAAAACAAAAUAGCGCUUGUUACUUAAUAAUAGUCAAGCAAAUCCAAAUAUAUACGUUUUACUUUAGGCUGGUACUACAGUAAAUUUUAUGAAACUCAUGAGUAUAUUUUACGCUAAUAAAACUACUCUCAACUUAGCAUUUCAAAAUGACUAUUUCUUUUUUUAUUGCUUAGAUGGGUGGACGAGCUUACAGCCCACCUGGUGUUAAGUGGUUACUGGAGCCCAUAGACAUCUACAACAUAAAUGCGCCACCCACCUUGAGAUAUAAGUUCUAAGGUCUCAGUAUAGUUACAACGGCUGCUCCACCCUUCAAGACGAAACGCAUUACUGCUUCACGGUAGAAAUAGGCAGGGUGUCGGUACCUACUCGUGCGGACUCACAAGUGGUCCUACCAUUAGUAGAAUACCAGUAUUUGGCAUGUUCUGUUUCUAGUCUAUAGGGUUAUAGAGCUAUUACCUUGCUAUCAUCCUACUUACCUCGACCCCAAGUCUAGUUAUAUUUCUUUGAAGUUAUCGGUACAGUCGAUAUUAUAUUUCAAUUGUGGCUUCAAUUUCAUGCGGCAAGAAGUUGGACAUGUAUUACAAACAAACUAUGAUUUGCUAAUUAAAAAUUAUUAUUCAAAUAAAACAAAAUUACACAAAAAAAAA